rnacentral:tRNA from 1 species
UCUUUAGUUUAGUUGGUUAGAAUACGUGAUUUGUAAUCUCGAGACGCCGGUUCGAAUCCGGCUGGA